UACGUAGGUGGCAAGCGUUGUCCGGAUUUACUGGGCGUAAAGCGUGCGCAGGCGGUUUUGUAAGUCAGAUGUGAAAUCCCCGGGCUUAACCUGGGAACUGCGUUUGAAACUACAAGGCUAGAGUGUAGCAGAGGGGGGUGGAAUUCCACGUGUAGCAGUGAAAUGCGUAGAGAUGUGGAGGAACACCGAUGGCGAAGGCAGCCCCCUGGGUUAACACUGACGCUCAGGCACGAAAGCGUGGGGAGCAAACAGG
rnacentral:rRNA from 1 species